GUUUGGUGCGUAAGUUCUCAGGGAAGAAAAAGAGGCUGAGCCCAAACCUUUAGGAAUAAUUACAACCGCUUGCAGUCACACAGAAGCCUUCAAAGGCAGCAGAAGCUGUUGCUGAAAUGUCACCCAUCUCUUGCAGACCCUUGUCGCAGCAACGGCUCGGCCACCCAAAGGAGCAGCGGUGUGAGAGGAGGUUUCAAGCCUCUGCAAGAUCCUGACUGCUAGGGAACAAAGACUGGUAUGUGGUUCCCUCAAAGGAUGGAAGGGAAGAAAGAGGAAGAGCCUUUUGUUUCUGUUACUAAGCGCUUAGUAGAGCCUCACAUGUUAUGGCAACAGGAACUCUAUAGCAGGUAAAUAGAUAAUAAUAGGGUUGCACGGAAUUCAGCACGCACUGGAAGCGCACGGCAUGGCCCAUGAACAACUGUGGUCAGGGGAUUUGGAAAUACAUUGAGAAGCUUCUCCUUCAACACACACAACCACCAGACCUGAAUUUCUAGUUCUUUCUAACUUCUGUUCACAGCGACGACACCAACGUGAUGGGAACCAAAUCAACAAACAGCAUUUUCUGUAGCUCUUUAAAUACUGGUCGGGCUGUCACCAGCAUGAAGCAAAAUGCAGAAUUGUAAAUUCAUAUUUGGCAAGCAAGCGAUACCUGAAAGUGACACUGAUCCCUAAAAGUACCUUGAGAACCAAGUGACCGCAGUCACAGAAAACAUCGGUGCAUUUGCAGUAACGCAGAGGAAGCAACGGUCUCUCCGCCUCCCUUGGAUGUCCCUCUGCUGU